GAGGGUAGAGCUCAGUGGUAGAGUGCGUGCUUAGCAUACACGAGGUCCUGGGUUCUAUUCCCAGUCCCUCCA
rnacentral:tRNA from 1 species